rnacentral:rRNA from 1 species
UACGUAGGGGGCAGCGUGUCCGGAUUCGAUUGGUGCGUAAAGCGCGUGUAGGCGGCUAGACAGGUCCGCUGUGAAAACUCGAGGCUCAACCUCGAGAUGUCGGUGGAAACCGUUUAGCUAGAGUCCGGAAGAGGAGAGUGGAAUUCCUGGUGUAGCGGUGAAAUGCGCAGAUAUCAGGAAGAACACCAAUGGCGAAGGCAGCUCUCUGGGACGGUACUGACGCUGAGACGCGAAAGCGUGGGGAGCGAACAGG